AGAGAAAGAGGUGAAGAGAAGAAAAAAGGUUUUGGAGAGAAGAGCUUGAGGAAUCAAUUGGGGUAAGCUUAGGAGCUGAAUUGAAGCAAGAGUUUGGGUUAAUCUUCUUCUAAGGUAAGGGGGUUAGUUAUUAUCAUAAUCAUGUACAAUUUUUGCAUUUUCUCAUGUUGUAUGAAAAUGGGUUGAUGAACAAUUGUUGCUAAAUUCGUGCUCUUGCUGUGAUGUUAUUUUCUUGUGCAUGAAUUGAUGAUUAUGGUAUGUUUGUGAGUGAAAUUACAUGUUUCAAAGUAUGUAUAAAUGUUAAGUUAUGAGAUUAUACUUAAUUGAUGAAAUUUUGAUAUGUUGUUGUUGAAAUGAGAUGUGAUUCAUGUUCCAUUGAUGUUGUUGCUAUUAACUGAUGUUGUUGAGGGUGAAUUAUGACUUGGGUAUACAUAAUUAUGGAUUGAUGAUGAGAAAUGAGAUGUUGUUGUUGUUUUGAGAAAAUGGGUCAAAUGGUGAUUUGUUUAAAAUGAUGUUUGAUUCAAGUUUGUAUAUGGAUUUGAGUAUCUUUUCAUGUCUAAAAACAUUUGGAUAAACCUUUGGAAUCAAUUUGGGUAUUGGGAGGUCAAAAAUUGGGAUUUUGGGGUGAAAAUGGAUUUUUCACGAAAACAGAAUUUUCUGCAAACUGUCAUCACUCGCGAGGCUAGCUGGAGGCGAGUUGGUGGCGAGUAGCCACUGGAAUUUCUCGCCAUGGCGAGUAACCAUACUCGCGAGGCGAGAAGCCUAGUGACAGCUUCCCCUGUUUCACGCUCUUGCAUCGUUUUCGCAUAUUUCUGUUUUGAUUUUGACUUUGGUGUAAACAUGAAAGUUGUAGAUAAUUUUGUUAGCUUUCUAAUGACUUUGGUUUGACGUUCAAAUAAUUUUUAGAACUUGAGAUAUGAUUAAAUUACUACACAUGGGUCAUGUGGAUUUUUGUGAAAACUUAUCAUAACUUUUUCUUUGAGCCGUGGAUCUUUUCCAAACUUAUAUUGGGUUUAAUGAAGUACUUAGAGUGAAUAAUUGAGUAUGCAUUUAUGUAUUUGGGAAUGUGAAUGUGUUGAUGGUUUCGAAAAUAUUUUGGGCGGAGUCGAAUCGGUGAAAACGGAUUUUGAGCUAAAUGUCGCUUUGUCUUGGAUUUUCUCAUAAGAACUUAAGCUAUCCCUUGAAAUAAUUUCUAAUAGUUUGUAAGUGACUUAAGUCCUUGGCUACGUGAUUGAUUAAGAUUGAAUUGUAGGAUUUCAUACUUGAAUAAGUUGACUAACUUUGAAAAUUAUCAAUGUUGGUCAUUGCCACAUGAUUUGGAUUUUGUCGGAAAUAUUUCUUAGCCAAUUGUCUUGUGAGUUAUUCUGACCAUUCUUGUAUGACUAAGUGAAGUUGUAUGAAUGAGUGAUUAUAUUUUGGAUAUGAUAUUUAUCAUGAGAUAUUGUUUUCCCUAUUACUUGGAAUAUGAUAAUGCUUGAAUUGGUGAAACUAUAUGUGAUAGUUGAUGUGGAACAACAUUGUUGAUUAUUGAUAAUCAUGUUGAUGUAUGAUGAAUGGUUAUAUGUUGGAUAUGAUAAUUGUCAUGAGAUGUUGUAUGUUCUCUUACUUGGAAUAUGAGAAUUGUUUGGAAUGGUGAAGCUGAAUGAUGUUGUUGAUUAUUGAUAAUCAUGUUGGAGUGUGAUGGUGAAUACUAUGAUUUAAUUGUGUGUGGGCAUGUUUUCUUGAUAAUGCAAAUGAUGUGGAGAUGAACAAUAUAAUUGGGUGUUGUCCUAUAUAUUGUGGAGAAAAUUGUGAUUGUUGUCGCAUUAUCGAGUCUUGUUACAUGUCCAUGCAUCAUAGUCGAGUUGUUGUAAAAGAGUCCGACUCUUUUACUUCGGAGAUUAUGUAAGGAGUGACCCCUUACAUGCGAUGUUGACUUGUCCAUCGGAGGUGACGACCUUUUGGAGAUUUGGUACCACAUGCAUUUAUGUGUCAAUAAGUGCAUAUCAUGACAUGAGUCUUAUUUGGAAAUGUGAUUAGAGAUCGUGAAUGAAUAUUUGUGAAUUGAUAAUUGUUCAUGAAAUAUGCUUAAUGAUUGUGCAUGGCUUAUCAUUGGUGAUUGUUCAUGAUGUAUAUGAUUGGUGAUUGUUCAUGAUGUAUAUGAUCGGUAAUUGUUCAUGAUACAUGUAAUUGGUGAUUGUUCAUGAAAUGUGAUUAAUUAUUAUUCAUGAUACAUGUAAAUUGUGAUUUUUCAUGAAAUGUGAUUAAUGAUUAUUCAUGAUAAAUGUGAUUGGUGAUUGUGAAUGAAUAAUUGUAAAUUGAUAAUUGUUCAUAUGAUUGAUGAAGAUUGAUGUGAGAUAUCGAGGUGUGAUGUAAGUAUUAAUGUGUAAUUAUUAUUGAUCAAGUGCAUGAUGUUUAUAUUGAAAUAUUCAUGUUAACUGUUAUUUGGAUUAUGAUAAUGUAAUACUUACCCCCAGUGGAUCUGUUAUGGACCGCCUGCAUAUCUGUAUGGAUGGGUAGACGUUGUGCAGGUUUAGUUGCUUGGUGAGUUCUUGUGCUUGGUGGAUAUCGAGAGCUUUCUCCGAUAUCGGUGUUUAGAUGUUUAGUCGGCUCUGAUCUAGGAUUUGUUGUGUCGGUCUAGAUUAUCUUUUACUUUGGAUUUUGUGAUGUUUGGAGAUUACCCGUUUGUUGGGAUUUUUGAGAUGUAUCUAUGUUGAUGUAAUUUAUUGAUUCAUAACAUGUAUACUUGGAUUUACUCUGGUUUAUAUUCCGCUGCGACUGUUGAGGUUUAU
rnacentral:lncRNA from 1 species